GUGUGGGUCCGAGAGAAUCUUGUUUCUCAUAGUAUACCUCAAGUUUGACACGUCUGUGGUAGCGCUGGAGGUCAAAUUGAAGUUGAUGAUGCCAGUCGCUACUGAGAUUAGUGGAAGGAAUGAAGUUGAGGCCCUUAUUGAGGAGGGAGAUUUGUAAGGGGGUUGGCGUGAAAUUAUGGGCCAAAUUUAUCACGUUCUUAUUACCCCCCCGAGCGAUCGGGAUUAUGGGGAUGCCAAGUUUAAAAAGUCAAGCCAGUGCUUGAGCAUCAACUUGGCCGUGUCCCGAGUCCAGUGGACCAGGUCGGGUUGGGUCUCAAAGUCCCGGCUGUCGAGAGCCGGGAUGUGAGCAUAAUUGUUGCUGAUUAAACUAUUCAGCCGCCCGAGGUUGUUUUUCUGCUCAACGGGCAAAGCGGCCGAAUAGUUAAUCAGGGGGAUUAGCACUCGGGCCCGUGGGAAGGUAGCCACGGCCAUCCUGAGUGCCCCUUGGAGCUGCUUAAUAGCGGUCUCCUUAACUUUCUGCUCACGAUGGUUGAUCCCAAAGGCUAGAACCAACACUUCAACCGGUGCAGCAAUUACGGUCUUGCGUAGGAUGGCCUCCGCGUGUCUAAAACUGGCGCCCGGGUAACUGUCGAUCUGAAGGUCGUCGACGUAAAAAGGUGGUAGGUGGGACAGAUUGGAGUCGCCGAUCACCAAGAAUUUCUUGUUGGCCGACAACUUCCAAUCCAUCAUCCUCCUACUCGAGACCAUGUGUCUAGUGGGUCUACGGGGGGAGGCACUAGCCGUAUCCUCUACCAACUCGACACAUUCUGGAAUAGACAGGUGUUGUGGAGUAUCUGGGACGGAAGGCCUCUUGUGUGGCUUCCUUUUUAGUGCCCCAGGGAACAAAUGUGCCCAAUCGGGGGACUCCUGAGGAAGCAUCUCCUGAGGGGGCGUCUCCUGAGGAGGCGUCCGCUGCAAGGGCUGGAGAGGGGACCAGUCGGGGGUCGCGGAAGAGUAACGAGGGGACAUCACCGAAGAAAGCCCCCGCUCCUGUUCUUCAUCCCGAAAGUCGAUCAGGAGAGGCGAGGAGGCCGUGGGUCCCCCUGGUGAUCCCAGAGGAAGCCUCCUGCGAGAUGCAGGAAUAAGCUGGGUGGGCGGAGCCUCGCCGAGGGUGUCCUGGGCAGGCCCGCUGUCCGUGGCCCGGGGCUGUGUCACCCUCUGCUCCUUGGGUGGUUCCG